GCUCGCGUUCGUCCCCGAUCGCCUCGCCUGCCCGCGCCGCUAUUGUCCUCGGAGGGGAUAAGGUCGCUGACGCCGCGCACCCUCAAUCCCCUCUCCCACUUGCCCCCUCUCUCCCCACUCCUCCUCUGUCCCUCUCCCCAGAUCCCUUUCUCUUCCCCACCGAACACGUUCGCCGUCGGCCACCUCGCCCCGCCGUGGCCACCGUCCUUCCUGCAUCAAGCCGAUGUGACCACGAGCUCCGCCUCGUCCUCUGCUCCUUCUCCGUCGAACCACGAGACCCGGAGCGCUCCACAACGCCGGCGCCGGCAUCGUCUUCCACCUCCGGAUGCGCCGGAGCUCGCCGUCGAUCCGCGCCGCCCCGAGCACCUCGAGCCGUCCCCGGACCUUCUCUGCAACGGCCGUGAGCCUCCUUCCCUGCUCUCCCCUCUCUUGUCUGUCGCCGUAGCCACCGCUUCCGCGCUCGCCGUCACCGCGACCGAACUCUGCUCCCGCUGCUUGUUCUGCUGCUACAAGCCCCGCCUUGCGCCGCUCGCCUUGGCUGCCUCAAUGCGUCGUCGGCGCCUGACCGCUUCUGCCCGUGGCCUCGCCUUGCUCCCCGUCCCAUGCGCUGGGCGCUUGCCGCUGGCGCUCCUCUGCGAGCGGCCGUGCCCGGGCUCGACCUCUGACCGGGCAGCCCCAUGCCCGGGCGCCUCGCCACACCCCCGCCGCCGCGCCUGCUCAGGUCGGCCCUGGCCGCUGGCCGCGCCCUCUUGCCGCGCCGCGCCGGCGCCCCCGCUGGCCUCGUCGAGGCCACGGCCUCGCCCGGGCGUAACGCCCGCACCCGCUAUGGCCCUGGGCCACUGUCCUAUGGGCCCCACGCCCUUGUAGUUAAAAAUGAUAAUAAUAAAUAAUAUUAAUAAUAAACUAAUUAAUUAUUUGAUUAAUUAGUUAAUUAACUUAAUUAAAAUGGUUUAGUUAAACUAACUAACAAGUUAGCCUAAUUAAUCAAGUAAUUAGUUAGGUAAGUCAAUGACAUGGGGGCCAUCCCUGUUGACCAGUCAAACGUUAACUGGUCAACUGGGACCCCCUGGCCCACCUCUCAGCCACAGGGUACACUUUUGUGUACACUGUGCUGGGCGCGCCUAGCAUUUUAGCAUUUAUUUUCGAUUUAAAUUAAAUUGCAGAAUAUGUUUAAAACUAUGAAAAAUUAAUAGAAAUUAAACCGUAGCUCGGAUCGAAAAACUUUGUACAUGAAAGUUGCUCAGAACAACGAGACGAAUCUGAACACGCAGUCCGUUCCUCUGUCACAUGCACCUAUCACAGUAAACAUGCAACCUUUCCCUUCUGUUUCAUCUGUCCGAAAAUGCCUAACUCUGGGAAAACUUCCCGGAUGUUAUCACCCUUCGCCGGUAUUGUGUAGCACCGCGUUAGAAUACUUCUAGCUCUAUCUGUUGUCAUGUUAUGCACUUGCCUGCUAUGUAUUUACUGUUUCUCCCCCCUCUUCUCUCCGGUAGACCCCGAGACCGAUGCUGAUGUCCCUGUGAUCGACUACGUCGACGACGACCCUCCUUCUUGUGUGAGCAACCAGGCAAGCCCCCCCCCCCUUGAUCAUCCUGAUAUCGCCCAUUCUAUACUCUCAUGCUUGCAUUAGAUUUUUUGCUACUGUUAUUGUUUGCUCCUAUUCUGAUGCAAAGCCUGCUUUUGUACCUGCUUAUUGUUACCUAUCUGUUUAUCCUAAACUGCUUAGUAUAGGUUGGCUAGUGAUCCAUCAGUGACCCCCACUUGUCCUUGUUGCCCCUGCUUCAUCAUCGACGCCUCGAUCGACAUGAUCGACGACCAGAGCCCGACACCUCACAUCACAUCACGCCCCUUUUGUUGCUCGACUCUUCAGAGCUACUAUCGAGUGUCGAGGGUGAUCCCUCAUAACGCACUCUUGAUGAUAAUUCUGUAGUGUAGCUAUUCGGUCGUGGUCACCGAGGGUGAUUUCCUCUUUCACCAUUUCCGAUACGGCUCUGUCGUUCAACACCUCAAGUGUGAACCUCGAGGGUGGUCCCUCUUACGUUCACCUUGAUGAUUACAUCGAGUGGAAUCCUCCGUGGGUGAUUCCUUGGGCUUUCCCCUUGAUGUUUGGACACACAGUUAAAAUGACUUUACUUGAGACCUUGGUGAAAGUCGGGCGGGCCCAGAGAGCACCCGCAAGAUAAUAACGUGGCACAGCCGGGCAUUCUUGGGCCUUGUCGUAAGUCCACGAGACGGGGCGACGGGGUCACUUUCGAUCGUGAGUCUCUGCUGGUCUCCGCAAGCUAAUAAUACACUAUUGUUUGGGUAUUUGUUCUGAGUUGGCCUUUGGCCUUUACGCACCAACCACCAUGUGAGAAUAGUUAUGGGCCUCGACGGCGUAGUGUCAGCCGAAGCUUUGUCAGACGUCCAGUUCAGCAGUGCGGCACGGCUUGGCCGGCACCAUCCUGUAGUGGUGGAGCCUGGACCCGCCCUGCGUGCAAUGAUCCGGAGUGCAACGGGCGAUGGGCCCAGACCCCGAAGUGCUUAGGAUGUAGACCGGCGGGGACCUCUCUGCUGAGCCUAGGUAGGGCUACGACGUGUUGAUCUUCCGAGGCCGGGCAUUGACCCAGAAAAAUGUGUCCGGCCAGAGUAAUCAAGCGUGUUGGAAAACAUGGUGCACCCCUGCAGGGAAGAUUAUCUAUUAAUAGCCGUGUCCACUGUAACGGACGUUCAGACUUAUAUCCCGAUCUUAUACAACUACAAAUGGAUACUUGAGAUAUGUGGCUCCGGGAUUGCUUCCUCGCAGGGAGUCGAGGAAGGAUCUCUGGGCAUUAAUGUUACAACAUGCUUGUUAAUUAUAAACUGCUAUUCUUUACUCUUCUACAUGCUGCAAGAUGCUGAGAGCUGCGUGAAGAUGCUAGUCUUCGAUAGGCUAGGCUUUCCCCUCUAUUCUGGCACUCUGCAGUUCAGUCCACAGAUACAACCCUUCCAUUUGAUACCAAUGCAUACUUAGUAUAGAUCUGAUGCUUGCGAGUACUUUGGAUGAGUACUCAUGGUUGCUUUGCUCCCCUUUUCCCCCCUUCUUCCUUCUUUUUGGUUGUUGCAACCAGAUGGUGGAUCCCAGGUGCCAGAUGAUGCCACCCCCGCAGACUACUACUACUACCCAAAGGGUGCCUUCUACUACGUGGAGCCCGCCGACGACCAGGAGUAGUUUGGAGGUCCCAGGCAGGAGGCCUUGCCUCUUCGAUCGUGUUGCUUUUGUGCUAGCCUUCUUAAGGCAUCCUUGUUUAACUUAUGUCUGUACUCAGAUAUUGUUGCUUCCGCUGACUGUUGUGUAUUGAGCUUGUAUUCGAGCCCUUGAGGCCCCUGGCUUGUAAUAUAAAGCUUGUAUUAUUUUAUUUGUGUCUAGAGUUGUGUUGUGAUAUCUUCCCGUGAGUCCCUGAUCUUGAUCGUACACAUUUGCGUGUAUGAUUAGUGUACGAUUGAAUCGGGGCGUCACAAUUUGGUCACUGGAAAGGUUUCGGAAUGUACCGGGUAUUCAUCAGAUCACCGAAAGGGGUUCUUGGAGGACCCGGGAGGUUAUUGGGCCAUAUGGGCCGAAGGAGGGGAGACACCAGCCC
rnacentral:lncRNA from 1 species